rnacentral:rRNA from 1 species
AGAGUUUGAUCCUGGCUCAGGAUGAACGCUGGCGGCAUGCCUAAUACAUGCAAGUCGAACGAGGGUCCUUCGGGACUCGAGUGGCGAACGGGUGAGUAACACGUAGGGAACCUGCCCGUGCGACCGGGAGAACUUUCGGAAACGGAAGCUGAUACCGGGUAGGGACAGAGACGGCAUCGACUCUGUGUUAAAGGAGCUGAAAGGCUCCGCGCACGGAUGGACCUGCGGUGCAUUAGCUAGUUGGUGAGGUAACGGCCCACCAAGGCGACGAUGCAUAGCCGGCCUGAGAGGGCGGACGGCCACACUGGGACUGAGACACGGCCCAGACUCCUACGGGAGGCAGCAGUAGGGAAUUUUCGUCAAUGGGCGCAAGCCUGAACGAGCAAUGCCGCGUGAACGAGGAAGGUCUUCGGAUCGUAAAGUUCUGUUGAAGGGGAAAAAGAGCGGAGAGAGGAAAUGGUCUCCGAUUGAUAUUACCCUUCGAGGAAGUCACGGCUAACUACGUGCCAGCAGCCGCGGUAAUACGUAGGUGGCGAGCGUUAUCCGGAAUGAUUGGGCGUAAAGGGUGCGUAGGCGGCCUGCUAAGUCUGGAGUGAAAGGUACCGGCUCAACCGGUACAGGCUCUGGAAACUGGCGGGCUAGAGAGCAGGAGAGGGCGGUGGAACUCCAUGUGUAGCGGUAAAAUGCGUAGAUAUAUGGAAGAACACCAGUGGCGAAGGCGGCCGCCUGGCCUGUUACUGACGCUGAGGCACGAAAGCGUGGGGAGCAAAUAGGAUUAGAUACCCUAGUAGUCCACGCCGUAAACGAUGAGGACCAAGUGUUGGGGAAGACCCAGUGCUGCAGUUAACGCAGUGAGUCCUCCGCCUGGGGAGUAUGCACGCAAGUGUGAAACUCAAAGGAAUUGACGGGGGCCCGCACAAGCGGUGGAGUAUGUGGUUUAAUUCGAAGCAACGCGAAGAACCUUACCAGGCCUUGACAUAGGGUGCGAAGCUGUGGAGACAUAGUGGAGGUAAACAUCCAUACAGGUGGUGCAUGGUUGUCGUCAGCUCGUGUCGUGAGAUGUUCAGUUAAGUCUGGCAACGAGCGCAACCCUCGUGAUGUGUUACCAAUAUCGAGUUAGGGACUCACAUCAGACUGCCGGUGAGAAACCGGAGGAAGGCGGGGAUGACGUCAAAUCAUCAUGCCCCUUAUGGCCUGGGCUACACACGUACUACAAUGGCGGCGACAGAGGGCAGCGAGCCUGCGAAGGCAAGCGAAUCCCAAAAAAGCCGUCCCAGUUCGGAUUGGAGUCUGCAACCCGACUCCAUGAAGUUGGAAUCGCUAGUAAUCGCGGAUCAGCAUGCCGCGGUGAAUACGUUCUCGGGCCUUGCACACACCGCCCGUCA